rnacentral:rRNA from 1 species
CCUACGGGUGGCAGCAGUCGAGAAUCAUUCACAAUGGGGGAAACCCUGAUGGUGCGACGCCGCGUGGGGGAAUGAAGGUCUUCGGAUUGUAAACCCCUGUCAUGUGGGAGCAAAUUAAAAAGAUAGUACCACAAGAGGAAGAGACGGCUAACUCUGUGCCAGCAGCCGCGGUAAUACAGAGGUCGCAAGCGUUGUUCGGAAUCACUGGGCGUAAGGCGUGCGUAGGCUGUUUCGUAAGUCGUGUGUGAAAGGCGCGGGCUCAACCCGCGGACGGCACAUGAUACUGGGAGACUAGAGUAAUGGAGGGGGAACCGGAAUUCUCGGUGUAGCAGUGAAAUGCGUAGAUAUCGAGAGGAACACUCGUGGCGAAGGCGGGUUCCUGGACAUUAACUGACGCUGAGGCACGAAGGCCAGGGGAGCGAAAGGGAUUAGAUACCCCUGUAGUC